rnacentral:rRNA from 1 species
UACGGGGGGUGCGAGCGUUGUCCGGAAUCACUGGGCGUAAAGGGCGCGUAGGCGGCCUGAUAAGUAGGGGGUGAAAUCCUGCGGCUUAACCGCAGGGCUGCCUUCUAAACUGUCGGGCUAGAGCACGGUAGAGGCAGAUGGAAUUCCCGGUGUAGCGGUGGAAUGCGUAGAGAUCGGGAAGAACAUCAGUGGCGAAGGCGGUCUGCUGGGCCGUUGCUGACGCUGAGGCGCGACAGCGUGGGGAGCAAACAGG